rnacentral:rRNA from 1 species
GUGGGGAAUAUUGGACAAUGGGCGAAAGCCUGAUCCAGCAAUGCCGCGUGAGUGAAGAAGGCCUUAGGGUUGUAAAGCUCUUUUACCCGGGAUGAUAAUGACAGUACCGGGAGAAUAAGCUCCGGCUAACUCCGUGCCAGCAGCCGCGGUAAUACGGAGGGAGCUAGCGUUGUUCGGAAUCACUGGGCGUAAAGCGCACGUAGGCGGCUUUGUAAGUUAGAGGUGAAAGCCCGGGGCUCAACUCCGGAACUGCCUUUAAGACUACAUCGCUUGAAUCUGGGAGAGGUGAGUGGAAUUCCGAGUGUAGAGGUGAAAUUCGUAGAUAUUCGGAAGAACACCAGUGGCGAAGGCGGCUCACUGGACCAGAAUUGACGCUGAGGUGCGAAAGCGUGGGGAGCAAACAGGAUUAGAUACCCUAGUAGUCC